AAUUUAAAAUUAUUUAUUUGGUUUAUGUUUAAGAAUUAUUUAUUUAAAAUAAUAUUUAAUUGAAAAAUUUUAGUAUUUAAUAGAAAAAAAAUAUAAUGUAAUUAAGUUUAUUAUUGUAAAAGAUUAUUUAAUUAAUUGAAAAUAGAUUUUUAGGAAUAAAAAGUUGUUUUGUAUUUUGUGAAUCAAAGUUUAUUAAAAAAAAUUUUUUUAUUAAAAUUUCUCUAAAUUAAUAGAGUUAGAUUAUUUUAUAAGUUAUUGUGAAAUAAUUAUUUUACAUUAUAAUCUAGAAAUGAAAAGUUAUUCGUGAUUGAUAUAUAUAGUUUUUAUAGAAAUAAAUUUAAUUUAAGUAACUGAUAUUUUAAGGUUAAUUUAGUUUAAUUUUAAAAAUUAGUUAAAAAUUUAAAAGGGGAUAAUCUUUUUUAAAAAUUUUUAUAUGGUGUGAAUUUAGAAUUAAUUUAUGGGGAAUAGAAAUUUCUUUAUUUUAUAGUAAUUUUAAAAUUAAAUAUAAUUUAAUUUUAAUUAAAAAUUUAUAUAAAUAAUUUAUUUAAUAUAAAAUUAAAUGUAAUUAUGAUAAAAUUAGUAUAUGUGAAUUAUUAAUUGUAAAUAAUUUAAAAAAGUGAUAAUAAUAAAAAAUGAAUUCGACAAAAUUAUUAAAUUUGAAUGUUUAAUAAAAACAUUGUUUUUUGAAUUUUAAUUUAAAAUAAAAUCUGCCCACUGAAUAUAAUUUGAAGGGCUGCAUAUUUAAUGUACUAAGGUAGCAUAAUCAAUAGUAUUUUAAUUGAAUUCUAGUAUGAAUGAUUUAACAAAAUUUAAUUUGUGUCUUUUAUUAAAAUAAAAUUUUAAUUUUUAGUAAAAAUGCUGAAAUAUGUGUAAAAGACGAGAAGACCCUAUAAAUCUUAAUUAUAAUUCGUUAAAGUGUAAAAAAAUUUUAUUGAAAAAAUAAUUGUAUUGGGGUGAUAAAAAAAUUUAUUAAACUUUUUAUUUAAAAACAUUAAUUUAUGAAUAUUUGAUCUAAAAUUUUUAAUUAGAAGAUAAGUUACUUUAGGGAUAACAGCGUAAUAUAAAAUUUAAGUUCGUAUUAAAUUUUAUGAUUGCGACCUCGAUGUUGGAUUAAGAUGAAUUUUAAAAGGAAAAUUUUAAUUAUUUAGUCUGUUCGACUAUUAAAAUCUUACAUGAUCUGAGUUUAAAUCGGUGUGAGCCAGAUUGGUUUCUAUCUUUAUUUGAGAUUUUUAAUUUAGUACGAAAGGAAUAAUUAAAAGAUUUUUUAAUUUAUUUUUUGAUUAUUAAU
rnacentral:rRNA from 1 species